GGACGGCAGAGCGUCCCUAAAUAGGCGUUAAGCUCUGCGCGGGCGCCGACCACCGGGCGCCGUCGUU
rnacentral:ribozyme from 1 species